CAUUGCGAAGCUCAGAGCGUUAACCUUUUAAGUUAAAAUUAGAAACAAUAGUUUCCACAAUGA
rnacentral:tRNA from 1 species